ACUCUUCAACCCUUCAAUUCCUUGUUGAAUUGUAAGGUGUUUGGAUUUUGAGCGCUUGCUGGCCUUGGAACCUUUAUGGCUCCAAAGGCGUAGCUCGUUCGUAAUACAUUAGCAUCUCAAUUUCGAGUAUUCGGAUUGACUCGGCGUAAUAGACUUUAUUCGCUGAGGACACCGCAAGGUGGCCGAAUCUUGAGGUAGAAGCUUCUAACUCCCUCUGAAGUCAACUUCUAAGAU
rnacentral:misc_RNA from 1 species